GCCACAAUUGCAUAUUUGAAUUCAAAUUUUGAAUCACAAAAGGCUUUAAAAGAUUUUGUUUACAUCCCUGUAACCUUUGGAUUUUCAAACCAAUAGGGUUGAUGUAUAAAAAGGGUUUAAUGCAUAUAUACGCUAUCCCAUAAUUUUUGGUUAAUUAUUUGGAGUUGAAAACGUAUUUUAUUUAAAUAGUUAUAUGGCCCUAAAGCAUUUAUAGGGCAAAUGUAUUUUUACAUAUUUUAUUUUGAAGAGAAACUACUUCCAAAAGUUGUAUCUUGGUAGAACAUGAUUUUACAAAUUUUCUGGAAUUUAUUUGGACUAAUUUGCAGUUCAAACUCAAAAGAUAUCAAAGAAAUGAGAAAAACAGAAAAAAGAAAAGGGUAAAGGAAAAAAAAAAGGGGAGCAAAUGAACCGGCCAGGCCAUUUUGGGCCGAUCCGGCCCAGUCCAACCACGCCCGACCGCGCGCGCGCAGCCCCGCUGGCCCAGCUGCCCGCGCACGCGCGCCCGUGCCACUGACAGGUGGGGCCCACCUGUCGGGGUCGUCCCCUACCUCAGGCAAGCGCCCGAAAUCGCGCCGCCGUCCCCGCGCGUGCCUGCCGCACGCCCUCACCGGGAUCCGCUCCUCCGGCCUUCCAUUUUCAUGCCCGAGCACGCCUUUAUAAUCCCAGCGACCCCCUCUCUCUUUCCCCCUUGUUUCCCCAUCC
rnacentral:lncRNA from 1 species